rnacentral:rRNA from 1 species
UACAGAGGUCCCAAGCGUUGUUCGGAUUCACUGGGCGUAAAGGGUGCGUAGGCGGUCUGAUAAGUCAUCUGUGAAAUCUAUGGGCUCAACCCAUAGUCUGCAGGCGAAACUGUCGGGCUUGAGUACGAGAGAGGUGAGUGGAAUUCCCAGUGUAGAGGUGAAAUUCGUAGAUAUUGGGAAGAACACCCGUGGCUAAGGCGGCUCUCUAGUACGGUACUGACGCUGAGACGCGAAAGCGUGGGGAGCGAACAGG